GUCGGUGUUUCGACAGGCAGACUGGCGCUCUGCGGAUUUACAUGAAGAACGGCCGGAGGAGAGCAGGAAUCAUGAAAGCUCCUCGGAGUAAAAGAAGUCCAACUGAAAUCCCUCUGCAGUGAAAGGUGAGGUGGAUGUUUGGCAUCGUUACAGGAUGUUCUAUCUGUUGGUGAAUACAGUAAGGUGACUUUUUAUUCAGUGAGAACUUCUUUUCCCCGCAGCUUCAUUCAGGAUGUCCAACAGUUUUCUUUCUUUCUGCUCGUUCCUCCUCACGCACUCUAGGCCUGCUCAGUGGAAUGCUGGGUCAUACGAGUGGUCCGGACUGACCUACUUUCAUCCAAUCAGAGGCCGCCGUCUCCUGUUCUCCUCCCCGUCUCCUCCAUGCAGCCCAGUCACAUUGAAUCUCAUGUGCUCUGGAGCAGGAACAAAACAAAUCCACCAGCAGGGAGGAGGAGGAGAGAGGAGACGAGCAAGCAACAGUGUGUGGGGUGGGGAGGGGGUAAGAGAAGGAAGGGUAAGCAAAAAUGAAUAGAAAGAUAAAAAUAUAGAAAAAGGAAAAUAAAAAAAUAAAAGAAAAAAAAUCAAAAGGACUUGAUAGAGGAUGAUAAUUUGAAAAAGCGAAUGCAAAGAAGAUGGGGAAAUGAUGGGGAAGGAAGGGAAGGAAAACGAAUGAAGGGUUGGUGAAAAAUACAAAUGAAAGGAAACUGUGAGAUGUAAUGAGAAAGGAAAAAGUAAAAAAAAAAAAAAAAGUGAAAAUGUACAAGAAUAAAGAUGAGGAGAGCACAUCAGAGAUUUGCCCAUCACAAUGCUGGAGCUCUUUCAUUUAUGUGAUAAAUUUCUAACUUCUGUUACCUCCAGUUGUGAGAAAGAAAAAAAAAACAUCUUUCAUAUUCGAUGCCAGAUCAAACACUUUCUGGUGUUUCUCUGUUUAUCAGACUUCAGCCCAUUUAAACGACUCUUUGUCACACUC